rnacentral:lncRNA from 1 species
CUUCCCCAGUGUCCUUAAGACUCCUCCAGCGGAUGAACCUCCACAGCACCAUCCAAACUCCACUGUCGGAUGACCCUCUGUCAGAUUCUUCAUGAAAUUGGAUCUCUUCGACGGACAAUCUUCAGACGAGCUUCCACAUCAGGCAAAUUCCAGACAGACUUCUCUAGCAAUCAGACUCCUACCGGACAUCUCCAACAGAAAGUCACCAUCCGAGCUUCUACAACAGAUGACUUCCGCCUGCAGCAUCAGCAUCCAAGGCACCUGACAAUAGUGAACUCGUCAGCAACCUCGAAAACAUCCGAGCUUCUCUUAGAUUGCUGAGACAGAGAGCCAUUUCGCUCCAUCAGACGUCCCAAUCGAGCUUCAACCGUCAGGCCCAAACUCUCUGGCAAGUCACGAUAAUGGACACUACCCCACUCC